rnacentral:rRNA from 1 species
ACGGAAGGCAGCAGUGGGGAAUAUUGCACAAUGGGGGAAACCCUGAUGCAGCAACGCCGCGUGAGUGAAGAAGUAUUUCGGUAUGUAAAGCUCUAUCAGCAGGGAAGAUAAUGACGGUACCUGACUAAGAAGCACCGGCUAAAUACGUGCCAGCAGCCGCGGUAAUACGUAUGGUGCAAGCGUUAUCCGGAUUUACUGGGUGUAAAGGGUGCGUAGGUGGCAUGGUAAGUCAGAUGUGAAAUACCGGGGCUCAACCCCGGGGCUGCAUUUGAAACUGCCAGGCUGGAGUACAGGAGAGGCAAGCGGAAUUCCUAGUGUAGCGGUGAAAUGCGUAGAUAUUAGGAGGAACACCAGUGGCGAAGGCGGCUUGCUGGACUGUUACUGACACUGAGGCACGAAAGCGUGGGGAGCAAACAGGAUUAGAUACCCUGGUA